rnacentral:pre_miRNA from 1 species
ACGUCCUGGGAAAAUCUGUUGUUCCGUAGUGUUCUCGUGACACUAACUCGAGAUCCCUGCGAAAUGACAGUUUUCUCUGGGAAUUACAUCGUCCUGAUUGUCGCGACAUGGAAUGGAAGC